GAUGAACGCUGGCGGCGUGCUUAACACAUGCAAGUCGAACGGGAAAUACUUUAUUGAAACUUCGGUCGAUUUAAUUUAUUUCUAGUGGCGGACGGGUGAGUAACGCGUGGGUAACCUGCCUUAUACUGGGGGAUAACAGCCAGAAGUGACUGCUAAUACCGCAUAAGCGCACAGAACCGCAUGGUUCCGUGUGAAAAACUCCGGUGGUAUAAGAUGGACCCGCGUUGGAUUAGCUAGUUGGCAGGGCAGCGGCCUACCAAGGCGACGAUCCAUAGCCGGCCUGAGAGGGUGAACGGCCACAUUGGGACUGAGACACGGCCCAGACUCCUACGGGAGGCAGCAGUGGGGAAUAUUGCACAAUGGGGGAAACCCUGAUGCAGCGACGCCGCGUGAAGGAAGAAGUAUCUCGGUAUGUAAACUUCUAUCAGCAGGGAAGAUAAUGACGG
rnacentral:rRNA from 1 species